UGACUGAUGACCUUUAAAAUGUAUUCAAAACUGAAUAUUUUCCUAAAUCAGGACCAGGAGCUCAAUGUCAGCAUGACAGGAGGGACAUGUAGACAGAGCACAGAUUGAGAGGCAGGGACGGAGACGUCACUCUGUGUUCACAGCACAAACUCCUGUGGUCCGGACAAAAGCAGCAGGCUGGCAGAUGAGACUCGCCUGGCUCCAGUCUUCGGGCUCUUCUGCCAUGUUUUGAGUUGUUGUGGACAAACAUGUUGUCAGACACGGCUAGAACGUGACCGUCUACACUCACAGUGCUGGACAGGACCACCUGAAAG